rnacentral:rRNA from 1 species
GAUGAACGCUGGCGGCGUGCCUAAUACAUGCAAGUCGAGCGAACAGACGAGGAGCUUGCUCCUCUGACGUUAGCGGCGGACGGGUGAGUAACACGUGGAUAACCUACCUAUAAGACUGGUAUAACUUCGGGAAACCGGAGCUAAUACCGGAUAAUAUAUUGAACCGCAUGGUUCAAUAGUGAAAGACGGUUUUGCUGUCACUUAUAGAUGGAUCCGGGCCGGAUUAGCUAGUUGGUAAGGUAACGGCUUACCAAGGCUACGAUGCGUAUCCGACCUGAGAGGGGGAUCGGCCACACUGGAACGGAGACACGGUCCAGGCUCCUACGGGAGGCAGCAGUAGGGUAUCUGACGCAAUGGGCGAGAGCCUGACGGAGCAACGCCGAGUGAGUGAUGACGGUCCUCGGAGCGGAAUAAUCGGUUAUUGGGGAAGAACAAAUGUGGAAGUAAAUAUGCACGUCUUGACGGUAAUUAAUCAGAAAGCCACGGCUAACUACGUG